rnacentral:lncRNA from 13 species
GUGUGUUUUAAGUCUUCAGCAUACUUAUUGUUUUGGUUGAAUCUAGUUUAAGAAGUAAUAAAAUUUUUGUGAAUAAUUUUAUAAAAGAUAUUUACAUAAAAGAGGAUAAUGGAUCCAAGUUUGAAUUAUCUAUAUAAAACUUGGAAAAUUUUCAUGUUGUCGGGACACCCAAGACCAUAUUUCCAAAACUAGCAUGCAAAUUAUUAUUAUUAAUUAUUUGCCAUUUUCUACAAUGGUAAAAUGUCUGGGUACUUAACUGGUUGAUUGGCUGUUGAGGCAAGUGAGUGGAAAAGUGCAUGGGCUUUGAUGUCAGAGCUGUAUUCAUAUGCUGGCUUUGUUACCCAGGCUGGUUGACUAUAGCAGACUCUGUGAUGUGUGGCUCCAAUCCCUAUUCAGGACUGAAGAACUUACUCCCUGCCCCCCAACCCCAACAGCUGCUAAAAUUACUUCAGACUUUAUCCAACUGGCUGACAUGAGGGUGUAAAAUUCCAGUCCGCUCAUCCCAACUCAGAACAUGCUUAAGAGUCAUCACAGCAGUCGGCCUCCCUAUCAGAUAAGCUUAUUGGAACCACACUGAAGCCCAGCUUCUCCCUCUGCCAGUCCUGCCUCAGACUUUUCCCCUCCAGAUGCUUAUCCUGAGAAUACUUGUUGACAAAUUUUCUGAACACAAAUCUCCAUCUCACAGUCUGCUUCCAAGAAACCCAAUGUGCAACAGUGACCUUAAAGUUCAAUUGGACAGCACUGCUCUAGGCUGUUGCAGAUUGAUGGAGACUAAGGAGGCAUGACAACUAAAUGCAAUGUGUCAUUCUGGAUUGAGUCCUGGACCACAAAAAAGGACAUCAAUAGGACAUUUGGUGAAAUAAGGAUGAAAACCAGCCCUGCAGGCCACUUAUUCCAGAUCUCUCACAGAUUAAUGGGCAGUAAAGUUAUAGUUGAUCUCUUUUUGAAAGUACUCUCCACUCUUCAACUCUGUAAGUUAAGAAGCCAAGGAGACACAAAAACAGAUAUUUUCUGUGGGCUCUAAGGCUUUAUCAAUGUGACUAACAGAGUUUUAGUUCAAAAACUUUCUGCUCUCUUGUGAAAAGUAAAUAGAAGAAACAUUUUGACUGUUUUGUUUUAAUCUGUGACCUUGAGAACUGCCUUCAUUUUAUAACCCAAGAAGCAACAUCCUAUUUUGUUGAAAUGUGAAUGGACAGAAAUUAUCCUCCCACGAUUCUAGAUGCAAUCAUACAAUAUUCAGGUUGUUUGAAAAAGUCUCCCUAAGAGUGAUAUAAAGAUGAACUGAGAGAUAAAAUACCCGGAAAUAUUUUUCCAGUUAUUGCGGCUGCAUAACAAAUCACCUGAACAUUUAGUGGAAUGAAACAUUUAUUACAUGCUGUAAUUCUGUGGGUAAUGAAUUUGGAAUGGGCACAGCAUGAAUGGCUUAUCCUGCUCCACAAUGUCUGGUUAUCAGACGGAAGUCAGGAAGGCUAUGCCCUGGAAUCAUCUGAAGGUUCACUCACUCACUCAACUAGCAGCUACUUCUAGAUUCCAAAUGAGGCCACAGUUCCUCUCCAAAUGGGCUUCUCAUGUGGUCUCGCCACAUGAACUAGUUUGGACUAGUUUGCCACCAUGCUGCAAGUUAGCCCAAAGGUGAAUAUGCCUUAAAGGGUUAGUUCCAAGGGUGAGUGCCCUAAAGGAGAGCCAGCAGGGCACUGUGUGCUUUGUACGGCCUAACUUCAGAAGCCACACAGCAUCACUUCUGCUGUCUUCAAUUGGUAGGGGCGGUCUCAUGCUCACCCAGGUUCAGCGGAAGCAAUAACGGUUCCACAUUUCAGUGGCACGAGCAUCAACCACAUAGGAAGCGGAGCAUGUGGAUGGGAUCUAUAGAUUGGUGCAGCCGUCUUUGCAAAAAUACAAUCUGCCAAAGAUUUAGUGACUAUCAGGAGCAUAAGCUAUUAGGUUUGCAGUCUUUCGCCUGGGAAGUAGAGAGGAGAUAAACACCUCUGAGAGACUGGGUGAGGUAAGAACUUUUAAAUUGAUUUUAGGAAUAUCCUUUUAUUUUAAUUUUUGGCUUCCUACUCUGCAGACCAUGAAAAUGCUGCUUUGGAAAAGGUUUGUCUGUAUCUCAGGUUCACUGUUUCAUUAGGGCAGAAUUUGUACAGAGUAUUGCUGUAUGACAAGCUUCUCACAAGGACACAAGGAAGUGACACAUUGUGGAGAUGCAAACAAUUACUGAGAGCCCUUGAGAGUUUGCAGCUGUCACCCAUAAGAGAGGAGAGAGAAGCUCUCCUAUAAAGCUGAUCCCCUCCCUGACCAAAAUACUAGUGAAUUCCCCUACCCUAUCCUGUGAUUAACAUCUGCCAAUUUCCCUCAAGGCAUGUGCAAAGAGAAUCAGGCUAAAUCAUACCCUUUACCUCUGUAGAUUUAGAUCUAGGAAAACAAGUUUGUCUUUCCCCACACACAAGUCAGUGCCAUGGACCCAUUUUUAGAAGUGAUGGGUGGUUUGGUCUCUGUUAGAUGACGAACUGAAAAGAUUCAGAAUUUCUAGGUAAAGACUGAGAGGAAAAUAAUUGAAAUUAUUGGUAUUACGAAAGUUCAGGGCAAAGUGAACAGAAAUAUGUGAACAAAAUUUGGAGAGUUAUUAAUAGUUGACAUGAUUUCAAAUUCCAAAGCAGUGAAUAUGCUAUGGGUGGAAACAUCAGGGUGAUGUGUUCUGGCUUUGUUCAUAUACAGUCCCAUCAGAUGAAGUUCUAGGCUCCCUGUCAACCAUCUUAAACAAGAUGACACCAAUCAGGAAGAAAGCUUUUUUAAAAAUAAAGAGUGACUAGGUCAUAAAAUAUUAAUACUG